AUACGUAGGGGACGAGCGUUGUCCGGAAUUACUGGGCGUAAAGGGCGCGCAGGCGGAUAUUUAAGUCAGCUGUAAAAGGCAUGAGCUCAACUCAUGUAUGCGGUUGAAACUGGGUAUCUAGAGUGCUGGAGAGGUAGGCGGAAUUCCCGGUGUAGCGGGGAAAUGCGUAGAUAUCGGGAAGGACACCAGUGGCGCAGGCGGCUUACUGGCCAGCAACUGACGCUGAGGCGCGAAAGCCAGGGGAGCGAACGGGAUUAGAUACCCCGGUAGUCCUGGCCGUAAACGAUGAAUGCUAGGUGUGGGUGUCGAGAGGCAUCCGUGCCGGAGUUAACGCGAUAAGCAUUCCGCCUGGGGAGUACGAUCGCAAGAUUGAAACUCAAAUGAAUUGACGGGG
rnacentral:rRNA from 1 species